rnacentral:rRNA from 1 species
AGGUUAAGUUAACAAGGGCGCAUGGUGAAUGCCUUGGCACUAGGAGCCGAUGAAGGACGGGACUAACACCGAUAUGCUUCGGGGAGCUGUACGUAAGCUAUGAUCCGGAGAUUUCCGAAUGGGGCAACCCAGCAGUUUUAAUCAACUGUUACCACUAGAUGAAUUCAUAGUCUAGUUGGAGGUAAACGCUGUGAACUGAAACAUCUCAUUAGCAGCAGGAAUAUAAAGAAAUUUCGAUUCCCUAAGUAGCGGCGAGCGAACGGGGAACAGCCCAAACCAAAGUGCUUGCACUUUGGGGUUGUAGGACUGAACAUUUGAGUUACCAAAGAACUUGAUAGUCGAAGGAUUUGGGAAAAUCCGCCAUAGAUGGUGAUAGCCCAGUAGAUUAAAUCAAAUUCUCUCAGUUCAGGAUCCUGAGUACGGCGGAACACGUGAAAUUCCGUCGGAAUCCGGGAGGACCAUCUCCCAAGGCUAAAUACUACCUAGUGACCGAUAGUGAACCAGUACCGUGAGGGAAAGGUGAAAAGCACCCCGGGAGGGGAGUGAAAUAGUUCCUGAAACCAUGUGCCUACAAUAAGUCAGAGCGCGUUAAUGCGUGAUGGCGUGCCUUUUGUAGAAUGAACCGGCGAGUUAUGAUCCCGUGCAAGGUUAAGACUAAAAAGUCGGAGCCGUAGCGAAAGCGAGUCUGAAAUGGGCGUUUUGAGUACGAGGUUAUAGACCCGAAACCAGGUGACCUAUCCAUGUCCAGGUUGAAGGUGCGGUAAAACGCACUGGAGGACCGAACCCGUGUAAGUUGAAAAUUGCUGGGAUGAGGUGUGGAUAGCGGUGAAAUUCCAAACGAACUUGGAGAUAGCUGGUUCUCUCCGAAAUAGCUUUAGGGCUAGCCUCGGAAUUAGGAUCAUGGAGGUAGAGCACUAUUUGGACUAGGGGCCCGUCUUGGGUUACUGAAUUCAGAUAAACUCCGAAUGCCAUUGAUUCAUAUCCGGGAGUCAGACGAUGAGUGAUAAGAUCCACCGUCGAAAGGGGAACAGCCCAGACCAUCAGUUAAGGUCCCUAAAUGUAUGCUAAGUGGAAAAGGAUGUGGAGUUGCAUAGACAACUAGGAUGUUGGCUCAGAAGCAGCCACCAUUUAAAGAGUGCGUAAUAGCUCACUAGUCGAGUGAUCCUGCGCCGAAAAUGUACCGGGGCUAAGCAUACUACCGAAACCAUGGAUGCGACCAUUAGGUCGCGUGAUAGGAGAGCGUUCUAAGGGCGGUGAAGCAAGAUCGUGAGGACUUGUGGAGCGCUUAGAAGUGAGAAUGCCGGUAUGAGUAGCGAAAGAUAGGUGAGAAUCCUAUCCACCGAAUGACUAAGGUUUCCUGGGGAAGGCUCGUCCUCCCAGGGUUAGUCGGGACCUAAGUCGAGGCCGAGAGGCGUAGACGAUGGAUAACAGGUUGAGAUUCCUGUACUAGUUAAGUGCGUUUGAGCAAUGGAGGGACGCAGGAGGCUAAGAUGUGCAUUCUGUUGGAUUAGAAUGUCCAAGCAGUAAGUCUUGUGAAGAGUCAAAUGCUUUUCACUUUAAGGACAAGCUGUGAUGGGGAGCGAAAUUUAGUAGCGAAGCGUCUGAUGUCACACUGCCGAGAAAAGCUUCUAGUGAGUACUUAACUACCCGUACCGCAAACCGACACAGGUAGUCGAGGAGAGAAUCCUAAGGUGAGCGAGUGAACUCUCGUUAAGGAACUCGGCAAAAUGACCCCGUAACUUCGGGAGAAGGGGUGCUGAUCGCAAGAUCAGCCGCAGUGAAUAGGCCCAGGCGACUGUUUAUCAAAAACACAGGUCUCUGCAAAAUCGUAAGAUGACGUAUAGGGGCUGACGCCUGCCCGGUGCUGGAAGGUUAAAAGGAUGGGUUAGCUUCGGCGAAGCUCAGAAUUGAAGCCCCAGUAAACGGCGGCCGUAACUAUAACGGUCCUAAGGUAGCGAAAUUCCUUGUCGGGUAAGUUCCGACCCGCACGAAAGGCGUAACGAUCUGGGCACUGUCUCAACGAGAGACUCGGUGAAAUUAUAUUGUCCGUGAAGAUGCGGACUACCCGCGACAGGACGGAAAGACCCCAUGGAGCUUUACUGUAGCUUGAUAUUGAGUGUUUGUACAGCUUGUACAGGAUAGGUAGGAGCCAUAGAAACCGGAACGCUAGUUUCGGUGGAGGCGUUGGUGGGAUACUACCCUCGCUGUAUGACCACUCUAACCCGCACCACUAAUCGUGGUGGGAGACAGUGUCAGGUGGGCAGUUUGACUGGGGCGGUCGCCUCCUAAAAAGUAACGGAGGCGCCCAAAGGUUCCCUCAGAAUGGUUGGAAAUCAUUCGCAGAGUGUAAAGGCACAAGGGAGCUUGACUGCGAGACAGACAGGUCGAGCAGGGACGAAAGUCGGGCUUAGUGAUCCGGUGGUACCGUAUGGAAGGGCCAUCGCUCAACGGAUAAAAGCUACCCUGGGGAUAACAGGCUUAUCUCCCCCAAGAGUCCACAUCGACGGGGAGGUUUGGCACCUCGAUGUCGGCUCAUCGCAUCCUGGGGCUGUAGUCGGUCCCAAGGGUUGGGCUGUUCGCCCAUUAAAGCGGUACGCGAGCUGGGUUCAGAACGUCGUGAGACAGUUCGGUCCCUAUCCGUCGCGGGCGUAGGAAAUUUGAGAGGACCUGUCCUUAGUACGAGAGGACCGGGAUGGACAUACCUCUGGUGUACCAGUUGUGCCGCCAGGCGCAUCGCUGGGUAGCUACGUAUGGAUGUGAUAAACGCUGAAAGCAUCUAAGUGUGAAACACACCUCGAGAUGAGAUUUCCCAUUCCUUUAUGGAAGUAAGACCCCUGAAAGAUGAUCAGGUAGAUAGGUUAGAAGUGGCAGUGCGGUGACGCAUGAAGCGGACUAAUACUAAUCGGUCGAGGACUUAACCAAGUAAUUAG